GCGCCGGUAGUGCAAUGGUUAGCACGCUCCUCCGGGAAUAGUGAAUCGCGGGUUUGAAUUCCGUCCGGCCUU